rnacentral:rRNA from 1 species
AUUGAACGCUGGCGGCAGGCUUAACACAUGCAAGUCGAGCGGAGAGAGGUAGCUUGCUACCGAUCUUAGCGGCGGACGGGUGAGUAAUGCUUAGGAAUCUGCCUAUUAGUGGGGGACAACAUUUCGAAAGGAAUGCUAAUACCGCAUACGUCCUACGGGAGAAAGCAGGGGAUCUUCGGACCUUGCGCUAAUAGAUGAGCCUAAGUCGGAUUAGCUAGUUGGUGGGGUAAAGGCCUACCAAGGUGACGAUCUGUAGCGGGUCUGAGAGGAUGAUACGCCACACUGGGACUUGGACACGGCCCAGACUCCUACGGGAGGCAGCAGUGGGGAAUAUUGGACAAUGGGCGCAAGCCUGAUCCAGCCAUGCCGCGUGUGUGAAGAAGGCCUUAUGGUUGUAAAGCACUUUAAGCGAGGAGGAGGCUACUUUAGUUAAUACCUAGAGAUAGUGGACGUUACUCGCGGAAUAAGCACCGGCUAACUCUGUGCCAGCCGCCGCAGUAA